rnacentral:misc_RNA from 1 species
GUUGAGUUUUUGUACUUCUUCCGUUUCAUAAUGUAAGUCAUUCUAGCAUUUCCCAUAUUCAUAUUGAUGUUAAUGAAUCUAUACCUAUAUAGAUUCAUUAACAUCAAUAUGAAUGUGGGAAAUGCUAGAAUGACUUACAUUGUGAAACGAAGGGAGUGGUAAAUAAAGCA